rnacentral:rRNA from 1 species
GUAGGGAAUAUUGGACAAUGGGCGCAAGCCUGAUCCAGCCAUGCCGCGUGCAGGAAGAAGGCCUUCUGGGUUGUAAACUGCUUUUGCCAGGGGAUAAAAAGUCCCUGCGGGGAAAAUUGAAGGUACCUGGUGAAUAAGCCACGGCUAACUACGUGCCAGCAGCCGCGGUAAUACGUAGGUGGCAAGCGUUGUCCGGAUUUAUUGGGUUUAAAGGGUGCGUAGGCGGUAGCCUAAGUCAGUUGUGAAAUACGGCAGCUUAACUGUCGAGGUGCAAUUGAUACUGGGUUACUUGAGUACUGAUGAGGUAUGCGGAAUGGACGGUGUAGCGGUGAAAUGCUUAGAUAUCGUCCAGAACACCGAUAGCGAAGGCAGCAUACUAAGGAGUAACUGACGCUGAGGCACGAAAGUGUGGGGAUCAAACAGGAUUAGAAACCCUAGUAGUCC